AUAUAAAAUUAUUAUGUUUUAUACAUUUUUUCAUUGUGAAAGUGUUUCGUAACUACUCCGGAAUAUCAAGUGGGUGUGUUUGUGUGGGGUCAAGACAUUAAUUAGAUUUAUUUCAGAUGCUCUUCCAAAUAUAUUUUUUUAAGUUAUAGAGUAAUGCACGCAACGUAAAAAAAACAUCCACGUCGUUCAGUUAUUAACAGGAGGUACAUUACGAUACAAGUGCGAAAAAUAGGAAAUUCGAAACGAGUGGCGAUAAAUUAAAACACGACAGAAGGGAGCGUUUUAAAUCGACACGAGGCAUAUUCUUGUCGCGGCAUCACAGCUGGUGUUGCGUGAAAGGACGUCUCCACGCGGCCGCCACUCGGCGCCGUGCGAAGAAAUACUGUCAGUGUGGAAAAGGAGGCCGCCAAUUUAAGAGGCCGAGAUUUCUAAUGAUAAGAAGAAAAAGAGCUGUGUUUCGCGGGUGCGCUUUAUGUUCCGGGUCAUACAACUGCUGCCAUGAGACUUCACCAGGACUUAAACCAAAAAUGCCAAACAAGUCCAUUAUUCACGCUUCGCAAAUUACAUCCAAAUCAAAUCUUACUGAAUGCGCAUGCACUAAAAAUCAAAACUGUAAUGGCAAGUCGAAUCACCAAGCUGGCAUACAGAACCUCUGUCGAUUUACUGUCGAUGCAUACUUUACUUGAAAAAGUAAUAGACUUACAUAACGUUGGGAUCUGAUAUACAAGUUUACUUUAUUACCUGUUUUAAUAAAAGCUACUCAAGU